UCCUGGGUGGCUCAGUUGGUUAAGCAUCUGACUUCAGCUCAGGUCACGAUCUUGUGGUUUGUGAGUUCGAGCCCCGCCUCGGGCU
rnacentral:tRNA from 1 species